CCGGCAGGCAGUAAUGGCGGAUGCUGCACGCUGAAGGUGUGGAAGGCCUCCGUUAGGAGGCGGCUCUCGGGCAAGGGGGAGGGGAGGAGGUAAAUACGACGGCAGGCCAAUGACAAGCAAGUUUUCUGUCUGAAGGCAAGUGCCAUCAACAGCCACGAUCUCCACUGUGGACAGGGCAAAGAGGUAGUUUCCAAAUACAUAUGAGCCAGAACAAGGAUGGAAUUCUGUGCCAUUGGCACCAAGUACCAGCUGAGCCAACAAGGUCCCCAAUUCAUGCAAUGAAGAAGUUAUCCAACACCUACCCUCCAAAGGGGCAAAGAUUCUUGUAAAGCUGUCCUGGUUGACAAUUGCAAACUGCUGUACAAAAGAGAGGCAACCUUUGUUAUGCAUUAAUACAAACGCAAUAUGUAAGGUUGCAGGAAAUCUGAAAUAAAAGCAAAAACUGCAGGUGAAACUCCGCAGGUCAGGCUGUACAUGUAGAGAGAACAGCACAGUAUAUAUUGCAGAUCAAUGAUUUUUAAUUGGUGCCUGUUGUUUUUUUAACAGCUAAAGGUCCCUUAUCAUACAUGGAGUUAUGAAGAUCAAUAACUUACACUUAUAUGCUGCUUUAAACACAGUAAAACAUUUCAAGGCACUGCAAUAGAUUGUUCAGUUAAAAAUGAACCCAAACAGUAUAAAACAAUGUUAAGGCAGGUGAGAGACUUUGGUUGCAGAACAGAUUUUAAAGAGGACAGAAACAUAGAGAGAUUUAGGAAGAAAAUUUCAGGGUUUAGGGCUGAAACUCUUUAAGACAGAAUGACCCAAUGGUGGGACCUGGUUGGGCAGGAAUGCACGAAGCUCAGAUUGAAAGAUUUCCGUGAGUCCUUUUUUUUUCUCAAUCAUAUACUGUGUCAUCUAUCACUGAGUUUUGUAGAUAACCCAGAGAUUUGAGCACAUAAAACAGACUGGUUCAGUGUAAUAUUGAGGGAAAGCGCAAGUGUCAGUAGUGAAGUAUUUUUAAUGCUUAUCCGAUACCUCAUCUACUUUCUCAGAUGAACAUAUCCCUCAUACUAUGGUAGAUGAUCCAGCUGCCUUGAGUACUCACCCAAGGCUUGAAAGAUUGGAGUGCAAAGCUUUUCUUUUCAGGGAAUAAUUCAAAACCAGAGAGUUCACAUUGCCCUCCUGAGGAUUGAUGAUGUUUGUUGCUGCGACAAAUAAAGAAUUUCAUCUGUGUCAGAAAUGUGCUUACAUCUACAAAGCAAAGGACAACAGUGGAGGUCCUGCUCGUAAAGAGUUCUGUCAUUUGGGGUAAAGUGACCUCUGCUCAAUGGAGCAAAGGGUGUGCAGGCACAGGAUUCAUUCGAUGCUCUACCCAUCAACUGCUUCCGAGGAUUUCCAGGGUCUCGCUUUGUCGGAUCUACAUAACGUUUCUUUCACCCGACAACGCUUCUGGAAUAUUUGCACUUACCUAGUUCUAGCUUCUUGAGCAGCACCAAUUUUCACUGCUACACAACUCAUUGUAGUGCCUUCAAUUACCAAGGCUAUAAAUUCUGAAAUUCUGUUCCUAAGGAUUUAUGUGUCUUUAUCUCUCUGCCCUCCUUUAAAAUACUCUUUUAAACCUACCGAUUUGCUUGUUCAAAUAUUUCCUUCCCUGGCCAGCUGUCAAACGUUCAUUGUUAACACACCUGUAAUGUUCUUGAGGCAUUCUGUUGAUUGUGGUUCCUCAUCAAUUUCUAUAAUCCCUAGUAACAUCCUUGUACUCUUUCUCAUGUGACCACAUGUUCCUGUAAUGCAGUGACAAGAACAGUACACAAUACUCUGCCUGCAGUCUACUUGGUGCUUUGUACAGUUGCAGUGUAAAUUCCCUGCACUUAUACUCCAAACCUCAGCCAGUAAGGGAAAGAAUCUUAUAUGCAUCCUUGACCCCUUAUCCCUCUGUCCCACUAUUUUCAGGGAUCUGUAAUCAUGCAUUCCAAGCUCCAUAUACACUUGCCAAUAUCCUAUUCAAUAUUGGGCAUUUUCAUCACAUACUUGUUCUUUCUAAGUGAAUUAGCACACAUUUCUUCAGAUUGCAAGGGUAUUUUUAACAGUUUUUUUUUCAGAUAUAAUAAUCCUUAGCUCCCUGCCCCUGCUCACAUAGCUGACUUGUUUUUAUUGUACCUGCAUUCCAUUUCAACAUCACACACAAUACAAACUGACAUAAAUGCUCCAAAUCAAAUUUGUCAGUUUGAGAAUGAAGCAUUCCAAGAUACUUCAACACACAGAUGUUGACCAAACUCUGUAUGGUGCACACCUUAUAUUACAAUAUUUAUACAAAUGUAAUUGGAUCUAUUACUGGAGAAUUUUAGAGAGAGCUUUGAAUGCAACUAAUCUGUGUGACAUGUGGCCUGGGAGUGCACCAUGCUGACACUAGAUACAAAGAGGUCUUCAGCCUAUAGACCGCCUUUCCUGAGCAACUACUAGCUCUGACAAAGGCUCACUGGACCCAAAAUGUUGAUUGUUUUCUCUCCAAAGAUGCUGCCAGACCUGCUGAAUUUCACCAGCAGUUUCUGUUUUUGCUUCAGAUCUGCCGCAUCCCGCAGUUCUUUAUUUAAAGUUUAGUGUUGACAGUGCUGUGUUUUGGAUGAAUUAUUAACAGAAGGUCUUCUUGCCCUCUCAGGUGAAUGUAAAAGAUUUAAUUUGAAAAUGUUCUACCUUGUGUUCAGGACCAAUAUUUAUCCAUCAGCAAAUAUCAUUCUGAACAGAUUAAAGUGAUCAUGAUCUUUUUUUUAUUCACCCAUGGGAUGUAGACAUUGUUGGCUGGGCCAGCAUUUAUGACCUGUCCUUAAAUACCCUUGAGAAGGUGGUAGUGAGCUGGCUGUUAACUUGCAGUUCAUGCACUGGAAGCCAUGAAGAAGCAAAUUCAAAGAUUUUGACCUUGCAACACUGAAGGAUCAGCGAUAUAUUUCCAAGUCAGGCUGGAGAGUGGCUUGGAGGGGAAAUUACUGAUAGUUGUGUUCCCACAUACCUGCUGCCCUUGUCCUUCUCAAAGGUGAUGGUCAUAGGUUUGGAAGGUGCUGUCUAAGGAUCUUUGGUGAAUUUCUCCACUGCGUCUUGUACGUGGUAUGCACUGCUUCUAAAGAGUACCAGUGUUGGAGUGACUGAAAGUUUGUGAAUGUGGUGCCAAUCAAGCAGCUGCUUUGUCGUGGAUGGUUCUCAAGCUUCCCGAGUAUUGUUGGAGAUGCACCCAUCUAGGCAAAGGGGUAUCUUAUUACAUUACUUAUUUGUGCCAUGUAGGUGGUGGACAGGAUUUGGGGUGUCAGAGGUGAAUUCCUCACAGCAGUAUUCCUUGGCUCUGACCUGCUCUUGAAGUAACUAUGUUUAUAUGGUGAACCCAGUUGAGUUUCUGGUCAAUGGUAACCCCCAGGAUGUUGGUAGUGGAGGAUUCAAUGAUGGGAAAACCAUUCAAUGUCAAGAGGGAUGUGGUUAGAUUGUCUCUUAUUGAGAUGGUCAUUGUCUAGCAUUUAUGUGGCAUAAAUGUUACUGAUCACGUUUCAGUCCAAACCUGGAUAUUGUCUAAUUCUUGUUGCAUUUGGACAUGAACUGUUCCAGUCUCUGUGGAGUUGCAAAUGGUGCUGAACAAUGUGCAAUCAUUGGCGAACAUCCUCACUUCUGACCUUAUGAUGGAGGCAAAGUUAUUGAUGAAGUAGCUGAAGAUGGUUGGGCACAGGACACUAUCCUGAGGAGCCCCUGCAGAAAUGUCCUGGAGCUGAAAUGACCAAUGUCCAAUAACCUCAACCGUCUUCCUGUGUGCUAGGUCUGAUUCCAGUGAUUCUAGGUGCUGCUUUUUGCCACAAAUAGUCAAAUGCAGCCUCAGUGUCAAGGGCUGUCACUCUCACCUACCUGGAAUUCAGCUCUUUUGUCCAUUUUUGAACCAAGGCUGUAUAUAAGGUCAGGAGCUGAGUGGCACUGGCUGAACCCAAACUGGGCCUCACUGAGCAGGUAUUGCUAAGGAAAGAAUGCUUGUUAGCGUUGAAGACACCUUCUAUUGCUUUACUGAUGAUCAAAAUUUUUAGAUGGGGUGGUAAUAGGCUGGUAGCUGUUUUGGAACAACUGAUGUCAGUAUCCUUGUUAUUCAGACGUUCCAGGGAUAAGUGUAUGUCCAGGUGACUGCAGUGCACCUAUUGUGAUGGUUGUCCAACAUGGAGGAGCACAAGGCAUCUGCUGAGCAAGGACUGUAAGAGAUAAUCAGCAGAAGGUUUCUUUGCCAGUGUUUAACCUGGAGCCAUCAAACUUCAUGGAAUCUGGAGUCAAUAUUGAGGACUCUCAGGGAAAUUCCUUCCUGACUGUAUACCACUGUACCACCACCUCUGCUGGGCCUGUGCUGCUGUUGGGAGAGAACAUGUCCAGAGAUGGGGAUGGUGGUAUCUGGGACAUUGUCUGCAAAGUUGCCCUUCAUUGGAGCUUGAUGUGUACAAAUUGGCUGCCAGCGACUACACUUCAAAAGGCACUUAAUCCCAGUACUUUAGGACAUCCACUGAUCGUGACAGAUAAAUGUAAGUGGGCUAGAAGACCCACCAGCUACAGAAGUGUGUCAUAAUUGUUUUAACAGAUUCAUUAAAAAUAUCUAUAAAUGCAAGUCUUUCCCUAUAUUUCAGGUCAAUUCACUAAUUUCCUGUC